UAAUACGGAGGGUCCAAGCGUUAUCCGGAAUCAUUGGGUUUAAAGGGUGCGUAGGCGGAAUGGUAAGUUAGUGGUGAAAUCCCCCGGCUCAACCGGGGAACUGCCAUUAAUACUGCCGUUCUUGAGUAUAGUUGAAGUGGGCGGAAUGUAUCAUGUAGCGGUGAAAUGCUUAGAUAUGAUACAGAACACCGAUAGCGUAGGCAGCUCGCUAAACUAUAACUGACGUUCAGGCACGAAAGCGUGGGGAGCAAACAGGAUUAGAUACCCUGGUAGUCCACGCCGUAAACGAUGAUCACUCGCUGUUGGCGAUACACAGUCAGCGGCAAAGGGAAACCAUUAAGUGAUCCACCUGGGGAGUACGGUCGCAAGAUUG
rnacentral:rRNA from 1 species